GCCACAUGAAACAUUUUUGCUGAAGCUGCUGCUAAGUCGCUUCAGUUGUGUUCGACUUUGUGCAACCCCAUAGACGGCAGCCCACCAGGCUCCCCCGUCCCUGGGAUUCUCCAGGCAAGAACACUGGAGUGGGUUGCCAUUUCCUUCUGCAAUGCAGGAAAGUGAAAAGUGAAAGUGAAGUCGCUCAGUCGUGUCCGACUCUUAGUCACCCCAUGGACUGCAGUCUACCAGGCUCCUCUGUCCAUCUGAUUUUCCAGAAAGAAAUAACCCGUGCAUGGAAGUGACUGUACGAAAAUACGAUUCUCAUAGCUGAGCCAGCUGUCUUGCAGUCACAUGGACAGAAGCUGCAGCAUUAAAGCCGAAGAGCUGGAAACUCAGUCCCACCUAACACAAAAGCCACUUGACCGCUUCUUCCCGCUGUUGCUCACAGUACAAGAAACAGCUUACGUUCCUCUUCUGAAUUCUGGGUGAAGCUGGUGGGCAUGGGACAGCUGUGCCCUCUAGACUGGCCCAGGCGGAAAUUUCUCUUCAGGUUUUUACAAGAGGGCAGACAGACUGAAAACCACAAUCACAGGAAACUAACCAUUCAGAUAGAGUGCCUGAUGAACUAUGGAUGGAGGUUCAUGACAUUGUACAGCAGACAGGGAUCAAGACCGUCCCCAUGAAAAAGAAAUGCAAAAAAGCAAAAUGGCUGUCUGGGGAGGCCUUACAAAUAGCUGUGAAAAGAAGAGAAGCAAAAAGCAGAGGAGAAAAGAAAAGAUAUAAGCUUCUGAAUGCAGAGUUCCAAAGAAUAGCAAGAAGAGAUAAGAAAGCCUUCCUCAGUGAUCAGUGCAAAGAAAUAGAGGAAAACAACAGAAUGGGAAAGACUAGAGAUCUCUUCAAGAAAAUUGGAGAUACCAAGGGAACAUUUCAUGCACAGAUGGGCUCGAUAAAGGACAGAAAUGGUAUGGACCCAAC
ensembl:lncRNA